rnacentral:rRNA from 1 species
GGAUUAGAUACCCUGGUAGUCCACGCCGUAAACUAUGGACACUUGGUGUUGGAGGUAUUGACCCCUUCAGUGCCGGAGCUAACGCGUUAAGUGUCCCGCCUGGGAAGUACGGUCGCAAGAUUAAAACUCAAAGAAAUUGACGGGGGCCCGCACAAGCGGUGGAGCAUGUGGUUUAAUUCGAUGCAACGCGCAAAACCUUACCUGGGUUUGAAAUGUACAGGAAUGAGGUAGAGAUAUCUCAGCUCUUCGGAGUCUGUACACAGGUGCUGCAUGGCUGUCGUCAGCUCGUGCCG